CCUACGGGAGGCAGCAGUGGGGAAUAUUGGGCAAUGGGCGCAAGCCUGACCCAGCAACGCCGCGUGAAGGAAGAAGGCUUUCGGGUUGUAAACUUCUUUUGUCAGGGACGAAGCAAGUGACGGUACCUGACGAAUAAGCCACGGCUAACUACGUGCCAGCAGCCGCGGUAAUACGUAGGUGGCAAGCGUUAUCCGGAUUUACUGGGUGUAAAGGGCGUGUAGGCGGGGAAGCAAGUCAGAUGUGAAAACCACGGGCUCAACCUGUGGCCUGCAUUUGAAACUGUUUUUCUUGAGUACUGGAGAGGCAGACGGAAUUCCUAGUGUAGCGGUGAAAUGCGUAGAUAUUAGGAGGAACACCAGUGGCGAAGGCGGUCUGCUGGGCAGCAACUGACGCUGAGGCGCGAAAGCGUGGGGAGCAAACAGGAUUAGAUACUCCGGUAGUC
rnacentral:rRNA from 1 species